rnacentral:rRNA from 1 species
ACUCAAAUGAAUUGACGGGGGCCCGCACAAGCAGCGGAGCGUGUGGUUUAAUUCGAGGCUACACGAAGAACCUUACCUAGACUUGACAUGGAUGCGAACGAAGGUGAAAGCCUAAGGUCCGCAAGGCGCAUUCACAGGUGCUGCAUGGCUGUCGUCAGCUCGUGCCGUGAGGUGUUAGGUUAAGUCCUGUAACGAGCGCAACCCUCGGCUCCAGUUACACGUUGUCUGGAGCAACUGCCCGUGACAAGCGGGAGGAAGGUGGGGAUGACGUCAAGUCAGCAUGGCCUUUAUGUCUAGGGCUACACACACGCUACAAUGGACGGUACAAUGGGUUGCCAACCCGCAAGGGGGAGCCAAUCCUGCAAAGCCGUUCUCAGUUCAGAUUGUAGGCUGCAACCCGCCUACAUGAAGUCGGAGUUGCUAGUAACCGCCGGUCAGCUAUACGGCGGUGAAUACGUUCCCGGGCCUUGCACACACCGCCCGU